GGCUGGAAAAGAGCCGUGUCCAGGCGAACUCCAAGUCUGCUGAAUGAAAAGGACUUCGGAGGGGCAGAAACCAGUGAGUGACGGAAACACCGAGCACGAGUUCCGACGUGACUGGGAACCGGGUGAGGAAAACCACCUUGGGGCUUGUAUGUGCAAAACCUGCAACUUUCUGGGCACACACUAAACUCUGAAACUGACACCCAACCUCACAACGGAUCCUCCCUAAUUCUAGUCACAGUACCAAAGGAAAACAAACAGACAGGUGGUGCUGCCACGGAGCGUUAGGAAACAUAACUCGGAGAAAGCGAGGGAAGAGGAGGAGGACGCUCCUUCCAAAUGGGACUGUCUCGCCCAGGCGAGCACAUCUUGCCCACCGAGGCUGGAGAGGUGGGGGCGAGGUGGAAGGGGCCAACUGGGCCGCCGUGGGUUGGCCGGAGGGGCCGACUUCCAGGCCCCAGAGCACAGUGGGAUAAAGGUGCAAGUUCGCAGUCCCUGGAUUAACGAAACACCCUACCCCCCAAAGUAAAGGUGUGGGGGUACCGGGCCCUUCUCGUGCACCUCAUCAGCAACGUGCUCUCCUCAAAACAAGUCUGGUCGGAGACAGCAGGACUCCGAGGCGCAGGCAGCGCUCGACUCAGCCCGCAGCGAGUGCCCGGAGCCGGGCGCGGCGGGGCGAGGAACGCGCCCCCGAGUAGAGAACCGAAGGCCACACGGGUCGGCCUCGCCUCCCCCCCGGCCCAGCCGCCCAGGAAAGCAGACGCGUGCCCAGGCCCGAGGAAGCCCGACGCCGCGGGUGCCCCAGCAGUUCCCGGCCUCCGCUAAGCCCCCCCCCCCCACCGGCCGCCGAGACUGACCGCCCACCUCUCCGCGCAGCCGCCGCCUCCGCUCCGCUGCGCUGAGUCAACGCGGAGGGUGGCCACCCCGCGCCUCCCGCCGCCCCUCGGCCGCCCGCCGCCUCACGCCUCACGCCGCCAACGCCGCUUCCGACCCCUCAAGCCCCAACGCCGACACGGGCACCCCCUCCUCCCCGGGACUCCGGCGCGGGACCCAGGGGACCGCAUUACCUUCCGCCCCACCAGAGGUGCCCCUGGCCUGGGGAUGCCGCUGCGCUCGAUCCCGGGAGGAGGUUUUCGACCUGGCCGUCACAGAGAUCUGCCUGCCUCUGCCUCCCGAGUGCUGGGAUUAAAGUUAAAAGUAUGAUCCCUCAGCUUCCUGCUGCAGCCACCUGCUGCCAUGCCUCCCCACUGCUAUGGAUCACCCUCUGAAAACAGAAGACCAAAUAAACUCUUUCUUCCUUAAUUUACCUUUGAG